rnacentral:rRNA from 1 species
UACAGAGGGUGCGAGCGUUGUCCGGAAUCAUUGGGCGUAAAGCGCGCGUAGGUGGCUUCGUAAGUCCGUUGUGAAAGUCAAAGGCUCAACCUUUGAAUGCCGAUGGAUACUGCGAAGCUAGAGUACGGAAGAGGCGAGUGGAAUUCCUGGUGUAGCGGUGGAAUGCGCAGAUAUCAGGAGGAACACCAUAGCGAAGGCAGCUCGCUGGGACGUUACUGACACUAAGGCGCAAAGCGUGGGAGCGAACGAGGA